rnacentral:rRNA from 1 species
UCUAGUGGCGGACGGGUGAGUAACACGUGAGAAUUUACCUUUAGGAGGGGGAUAACAAUUGGAAACGAAUGCUAAUACCCCAUAUGCUUUUGAGUGAAAUGGAUUUAUCCGCCUAAAGAGAAGCUCGCGGCUGAUUAGCUUGUUGGUAAGGUAAGAGCUUACCAAGGCGACGAUCAGUAUCUGGUUUGAGAGGACGAUCAGACACACUGGAACUGAGACACGGUCCAGACUCCUACGGGAGGCAGCAGUGGGGAAUUUUCCGCAAUGGGCGAAAGCCUGACGGAGCAAUACCGCGUGAGGGACGACUGCCUAUGGGUUGUAAACCUCUUUUUUCAGGGAGGAAUCAAUGACGUGCACCUGAAGAAUAAGCAUCGGCUAACUCCGUGCCAGCAGCCGCGGUAAGACGGAGGAUGCAAGUGUUAUCCGGAAUCACUGGGCGUAAAGCGUCUGUAGGUGGUUUAAUAAGUCAACUGUUAAAUCUUGAGGCUCAACUUCAAAAUCGCAGUCGAAACUAUUAGACUAGAGUAUAGUAGAGGUAAAGGGAAUUUCCAGUGGAGCGGUGAAAUGCGUAGAUAUUGGAAAGAACACCGAUGGCGAAAGCACUUUACUGGGCUAUUACUAACACUCAGAGACGAAAGCUAGGGUAGCAAAUGGGAUUAGAUACCCCAGUAGUCCUAGCCGUAAACAAUGGAUACUAGAU